ensembl:processed_transcript BC006965 cDNA sequence BC006965
ACACGUCGGCCACUCCACCUCGGGCGCUCUGAAGCCGGCCGCAUGGAGACUGGGGGACGGUGGUAGGAUGGUCCUAGACCCCUUCUCUCCAUUUCUGCAACCUUGGUGAAUUGAAAAGGGAUCAAUAUCCUUGGUCAGCUAUACCAUACCAGAUGGCCAAGGGACAGAGGAAAAAUGGCAGGGCAAACCCCCUUGGAUUUGCCCACGUGGAGUUUGGAUAUUUACCUGACUUCUUUGUCAAGUCUUGGGCCUGAUGCAGGUAAGCAUGGUGGGGCCCUUGGAGAUCUGUCGGAGCAGUUGCAAGAGGCCACUGUAGACCAGCAAUCGCCACCGCUGCAGCAUUGGUGCCAGGCAAGAAAUCCCAUCAUGCUCUACACCAAGGCUGAGGAGGGAUAGAGCUGAACCGACUGGCAGCCCUCUGUCCUUCCAUGAGAGGAGACUCCAUGGGAGACAAUGGUUACAGAAGUAUGGCCACUGGUUCAUGUAUUCAACAGUUCAGGGGAGCUGUCACCACCGAAGGAAGGAGGAUAGUACUGACAGGGCUGAUGGUAAUGAUGACAUCUAAUGUACAUGGAGCAGCUCCAUCUGCCAGACACUACGAUGGACUUGUUUGAUGAAUGUGAACUCAGUGCUGGUUAAGGCUGGAAACAGAAGGUAUACGUACAAAGGUCUGUUCCAACUUGUGGCAAUAUUGCAAGUCCCACCAUCCCAUGGCUCUCCUCUGUACAGACUGUAAAAUACAAGCAGAAAACGCUAAUUAACUGAUCAUUAGCAGGAAGGUGAAAGAUCAAACUUAGAUUUACAUGUUGCCUUCUUGUUUGAAGAACUGCGUCAGCAUCCACUAAUUAAUCCAUCAGCAAAGAAUGCUGCCUGCACUUCUCCAUC